GGCCGCUCGGCGCCACGACCGGCCGAGAGGGGGGCCGGAUCCCGGACCAUGGCGGCGGCCGGGGGGCGCCGAGGGGCGGCGCGCGGACAUGGAGGCGGAGGCGGCGGCAGCUCCUGAGCGGGGAGGCGGGAGCUGCGUGCUGUGCUGCGGAGACCUGGAGGCCACGGCGCUGGGGCCGCUGCGACCACCCGGUGUGCUACCGCUGCUCUACCAAGAUGCGGGUGCUCUGCGAGCAGCGCUACUGCGCCGUGUGCCGCGAGGAGCUGCGCCAGGUGGUCUUUGGGAAGAAGCUUCCUGCCUUUGCCACCAUCCCCAUCCACCAGCUGCAGCAUGAGAAGAAAUAUGAUAUCUACUUUGCAGAUGGAAAGGUGUACGCAUUGUACAGGUGAGCAGGGCCUCUCCCUGGGUCCUGGCCUCCCUGUGGUUGUGGCCCUUCACGUCCCACUCUCCUCACAACCGGAGGCACUUCGGGGGCCACCUGGUGCACCAAUGCUGGGGCCAGGCACCUGGGUUUCCAUCCUGUGACUGGGGAGGCUUACCAGGCCCUCCUGGGGGUAGAGCUGGUGGUUGUGCUGGGGAAAGGCAUGCCCAGGUGGUGCAGCACCUGCCUCGGGGGCACCUUGAGGGGCACACGAGGUGUGUGAGCCAGGCCCGUGGCCUGAAAAUCCUAUAAAGGGUACAGCUGUCCCAGGGCUGGUCUCUCAGAGGAGGGGCAGCUCAUGGGCUCAGGGCUAGAGCCAGGCUUCUGACCCAGGCCAUGUGCACAGCCAUGGCCUUGCAUCUGUCCUGGGUCACGGGCCUGGGGCCUGGUGAGUGGCCCUGCUCCCGGCGGUGACACUGAAUGUCCUGGGGCCGUGGGCGGCUCUCGGUGUCUUCCUAGGCAGCUGCUGCAGCACGAGUGCCCGCGGUGCCCCGAGCUGCCACCUUUCAGCCUCUUCGGGGACCUGGAGCAGCACAUGCGGAGGCAGCAUGAGCUCUUCUGCUGCCGUCUGUGCCUCCAGCACCUCCAGGUGUGCCCCCCCAGCGACCCCGGAGAGAGCCUAGGCGGUGGGUGGUGCAAGGGAUGUGGCCACACGGCUGGGAGGGGCUUGUCCACCUGCUGCUUCUGGCCCCGGAUGGCCCCCUGAGGGUCAGGCUGCACGUGGCAGGGAGGCCUCUGGCUGCUGGCGGGGCCCUCUCCCGCCCCUUGCUGCUCCGCCACUGGCCUGUGGGAAGAGGCAGGAGGCUUGGGGUCCCCCAGCCUGUGCCCAGCCUCCUGUGCCUUGUAGAUCUUCACAUAUGAGCGCAAGUGGUACUCGCGCAAGGACCUGGCCCGGCAUCGCAUGCAGGGUGACCCCGAUGACACGUCGCACCGUGGGCACCCGCUCUGCAAGUUCUGUGACGAGCGCUACCUGGACAAUGAUGAGCUGCUUAAGCACCUGCGCCGCGACCACUACUUCUGCCACUUCUGCGACUCGGACGGGGCCCAGGACUACUACAGCGACUAUGCCUACCUGCGUGAGCACUUCCGGGAGAAGCACUUUCUGUGUGAGGAAGGCCGCUGCAGCACGGAGCAGUUCACCCACGCCUUCCGCACCGAGAUCGACCUCAAGGCCCACAGGACGGCCUGCCACAGUCGCAGCCGCGCCGAGGCACGCCAGAACCGCCACAUCGACCUGCAGUUCAGCUACGCGCCACGGCACUCGCGCCGGAACGAGGGGGUCGUUGGUGGCGAAGACUACGAGGAGGUGGACAGGUACAGCCGCCAGGGCCGAGUGGCCCGGGCUGGCACUCGCGGAGCCCAGCAGAGCCGCCGAGGAAGCUGGAGGUACAAAAGGGAAGAAGAGGACCGAGAAGUAGCAGCUGCUGUCCGGGCCUCCGUGGCCGCACAGCAGCAGGAGGAGGCUCGCAGGAGUGAGGAUCAGGAGGAAGGCGGUAGGCCCAAGAAGGAGGAGGCAGCGGCGCGGGGACCUGAGGAUCCCCGUGGCCCCCGGCGCUCACCCCGGACUCAGGGCGAAGGCCCAGGCCCCAAGGAAACCUCGACAAAUGGUCCUGUAAGCCAAGAAGCCUUCUCGGUGACAGGCCCAGCCGCCCCAGGGUGUGUGGGGGUGCCAGGGUGAGAGUAUGGGCGCCCAGGGGUGAAUGGUGCAUGGUGGGCGGGUGCGGGCAGCCACAGGUGGGUGCCGGGAGGGCAGGUAUGGAGCCACGGGGCCUGAUAGCUGUUGACCAGCUGUGCUUCCCUGCACCCAGCGCCCUCCCACCACCCAGCCCGAAGCUCAAGGACGAAGACUUCCCCAGCCUCUCUGCCUCCACUUCCUCCUCCUGCUCCACUGCAGCAACCCCGGGCCCUGUGGGGUUGGCGCUGCCGUACGCCAUCCCUGCCAGAGGCAGGAGUGCCUUCCAGGAGGAGGACUUCCCCGCCCUGGUGUCCUCGGUGCCCAAGCCUGGCACCGCCCCCACCAGCCUUGUCUCUGCCUGGAACAGCAGCAGUAGCAGCAAGAAGGUAGCACAGCCCCCACUCUCGGCGCAGGCUACCGGCAGCGGCCAGCCCACCAGGAAGGCUGGGAAGGGGAGCAGGGGCGGCAGGAAGGGCGGCCCGCCCUUCACACAGGAGGAGGAGGAGGACGGCGGCCCGGCCCUGCAGGAGCUUCUGAGCACACGCCCCACGGGCUCCGUCUCCUCCACACUGGGGCUGGCCUCCAUCCAACCCUCUAAAGUUGGGAAGAAGAAGAAAGUGGGCUCGGAGAAGCCAGGCACCACAUUGCCACAGCCCCCGCCCGCUACCUGUCCCCCAGGGGCUUUGCAGGCCCCGGAAGCUCCUGCCAGCAGAGCCGAGGGGCCAGUUGCCGUCGUCGUUAAUGGACACAUGGAGGGCCCGGCCCCUGCUCGGAGUGCCCCCAAGGAACCCCCUGGGCUCCCAAGGCCCCUGGGGUCCUUCCCCUGCCCCACGCCACAGGAGGACUUCCCAGCGCUCGGCGGCCCCUGCCCACCCCGGAUGCCGCCGCCCCCAGGCUUCAGCGCUGUGGUGCUCCUGAAGGGCACGCCUCCCCCACCCCCGCCGGGCCUGGUGCCCCCAAUCAGCAAGCCGCCCCCUGGCUUCUCUGGCCUUCUGCCUAGCCCCCACCCGGCCUGUGUCCCCAGCCCCGCCACCACCACCACCACAAAAGCGUAAGUGUGGGUGAGCUGCCUGGUGUCCACCGGGGGUGGAGGAACGGUACCCUCCCCUUGGGCCACUGUGAAGGCUGAAGCCUCCACCUCCUCUUUACCUUCUGACCCCCAGACCCAGGCUGCUGCCUGCCCCACGGGCGUACCUAGUCCCCGAGAACUUCCGGGAGAGGAACCUUCAGCUCAUCCAGUCCAUCAGGGACUUCCUGCAGAGCGACGAGGCCCGCUUCAGCGAGUUCAAGAGCCACUCAGGGGAGUUCAGACAGGUCAGGCGGGCCCGGGGAGUCCAGAUGGGUCAGGCGGGCCCGGGGCGGGGUGCCAGCCCGUCUUCAUCCAGGGCCCGGGCCAGAGGGGAUGACUGAGUCCGGCUCUCCGGUGGCAGGGCCUGAUCUCCGCAGCCCAGUAUUACAAGAGUUGCCGGGACCUGCUGGGGGAGAAUUUCCAGAAGGUCUUUAAUGAGCUGCUGGUCCUGCUGCCCGACACGGCCAAGCAGCAGGAGCUCCUGUCUGCACACACGGACUUCUGCAACCGCGAGAAGCCUCUGAGCACCAAGUCCAAGAAGAACAAGAAGAGCGCGUGGCAGGCCACCACCCAGCAGGCGGGCCUGGACUGCCGUGUGUGCCCCACCUGCCAGCAGGUGCUCGCGCAUGGCGAUGCCAGCAGCCACCAGGCGCUGCAUGCUGCCCGGGACGACGACUUCCCCUCCCUGCAAGCCAUCGCCAGGAUCAUCACGUAGCUCCCGCCAGCGUGGCCAGAGCUGUCGCACCGUGAGCGUCCUUCCUCCUUCCUCUCCGGGCUGCCAGGCAGCCAGGUAAGGCCUGGUGAGGCCACUUGGCCUCUUGGUUGGCCAGGCCCACCAGGAAGUCACCAGGACAGUCCACCCGCCCUGUUGGCACACUCAAGCGGGAGUCCACCCCUGCCUCAGUGGUGGGCCAGUCUCGGUUUGCAUUCUUGUGCUUUUGGGAGGUGCCAGGGGAGGGAAGGGCUGGGAUGCUGGGACCUGUUGUUGCUGGCAAAGCCAGAGGUCACAGUGGCCUGAUCUGGGCCCUCCCAAAGCUGAGGGCUGCAGCCCGUGGGGCCUCAGAGCUGAAAGCUGCGGCGCCACUGGUGCCAGAGUCAGAUGUCACAGAUGUGUUGUGUAAACAGUUGGCUGUUUCAUGCUUCAAGAAUGUUCAGGAUUAAAAGCAGACAAGAAAUUGUGCUACUUGAAGUUGAAUCUUUUUAUGAGACAAGCUGAAUCUGGGAUCUCAAAUUGCCUCUGACCUUUUAUAAGACAGUUUAUCUUCAAAUAAAUUUAUUUUGCAAUACCACGC
rnacentral:lncRNA from 1 species